GCGCUUGUAGCUCAGCAGGAUAGAGCAACCGCCUCCUAAGCGGUAGGUCAUCGGUUCGAUUCCGAUCAAGCGCAUCA
rnacentral:tRNA from 1 species